UUAUUAGAUAAAAAGCCAGUUCAUGCUUUUACAGUAUGAAAAUUGGUGAUUUAUAAUAACUUAGCAAAUCGCAAAGUGAAAACAGGCGAUAAAUCAUUCAAGUUUCUGACCUAUCAGCUUUCGACGGUAUGGUAUUGGCUUACCGUGGCAGUGACGGUUAACGGGGGAUUAGGGUUCGAUUCCGGAGAGGGAGCCUGAGAAACGGCUACCACAUCUAAGGAAGGCAGCAGGCGCGCAAAUUACCCAAUUCUAACAGUUUGAGAGAGGUAGUAACAAGAAAUAACAAUACAAGGCAGUUAAAAUGCUUUGUAAUUGGAAUGAUAGAAAUUUAAACCCUUUUUAAAGUAUCAAUUGGAGGGCAAGUCUGGUGCCAGCAGCCGCGGUAAUUCCAGCUCCAAUAGCGUAUAUUAAAAUUGUUGCAGUUAAAAAGCUCGUAGUUGAAGUUCUGCUGAAAGUAACCGGUCUGCUUUUAAUAAAAGUGGUAUCUUGGUAUGUAUUUAGCAAUGAUGUCCUUUGAAGUGUUUUUUACUUUAUUGUAAUAAAGCAUAUUCAGGACUUUUACUUUGAGAAAAUUAGAGUGUUUCUAGCAGGCUAACGCUUUGAAUACUGCAGCAUGGAAAUAA
rnacentral:rRNA from 1 species